rnacentral:rRNA from 1 species
UACAGAGGUCUCAAGCGUUGUUCGGAUUCAUUGGGCGUAAAGCGCGUGCAGGCUGUUAGAUAAGUCAGAUGUGAAAUCCCUGGGCUCAACCGAGGAAGUGCAUUUGAAACUAUCUAGCUAGAAGAUGGUAGAGGAAGGUGGAAUUCCAAGUGUAGAGGUGAAAUUCGUAGAUAUUUGGAGGAAUACCGGUGGCGAAGGCGGCCUUCUGGGCCAUUCUUGACGCUGAGACGCGAAAGCGUGGGUAGCAAACAGG